CCUGACUCAGAACGAACGCUGGCGGCGCGCCUAAGCAUGCAAGUCGAACGGCAAGAGGUAGCAAUACCUCCUAGAGUGGCGGACUGGUGAGUAACACGUGGGUGACAUACCCUUCAGAUGGGGAUAGCUAUUAGAAAUAGUAGAUAAUACCGAAUACGAGCACAGGGGUUAGAGAUCUGUGAGGAAAGGAGCUAAGGCUCCGCUGAAGGAAUGGCCUGCGGCCCAUUAGCUAGUUGGUGAGGUAAGAGCCCACCAAGGCGAUGAUGGGUAUCCGGCCUUAGAGGGUGAACGGACACAUUGGGACUGAGAUACGGCCCAGACUCCUACGGGAGGCAGCAGCUAAGAAUAUUCCGCAAUGGACGAAAGUCUGACGGAGCGACGCCGCGUGGAUGAAGAAGGCCGGAAGGUUGUAAAAUCCUUUUGAAACUGAAGAAUAAGCGUUGUAGGGAAUGACAGCGUGGUGACAGUAGGUUUUGAAUAAGCAACGGCUAAUUACGUGCCAGCAGCCGC
rnacentral:rRNA from 1 species